rnacentral:rRNA from 1 species
AACGAACGUUGGCGGCGUGGAUUAGGCAUGCAAGUCGAGGGAAUCCCAGCAAUGGGGGAACCGGCGUAAGGGGCAGUAAGGCGUGGGUACCUACCCUGGGGUCCGGCAUAGCCGUCCGAGAGGGCGGGUAAUUCCGGAUGAUCUCGGGAGAGCAAAGAUUUAUCGCCCUGGGAGGGGCCCACGUGAUAUUAGCUAGUUGGUGAGGUAACGGCUCACCAAGGCGGAGAUGUCUAGCGGGUGUGAGAGCACGACCCGCGCCACUGGCACUGAGACACUGGCCAGACACCUACGGGUGGCUGCAGUCGAGAAUCUUCGGCAAUGUGCGAAAGCACGACCGAGCGACGCCGCGUGUGCGAUGAAGGCCUUCGGGUUGUAAAGCACUGUCGAGGGGGAGAAAAGCCCGAAAGGGUCUGAUCUAUCCCUGGAGGAAGCACGGGCUAAGUUCGUGCCAGCCGCCGCCGUAACAC